rnacentral:rRNA from 1 species
UACGUAGGGUGCAAGCGUUAAUCGGAAUUACUGGGCGUAAAGCGUGCGCAGGCGGCUUUGCAAGACAGAUGUGAAAUCCCCGGGCUUAACCCUGGGAACUGCAUUUGUGACUGCACGGCUAGAGUGUGUCAGAGGGGGGUAGAAUUCCACGUGUAGCAGUGAAAUGCGUAGAGAUGAUGGAGGAAUACCGAUGGCGAAGGCAGCCCCCUGGGA